GGACGAACGCUGGCGGCGUGCUUAACACAUGCAAGUCAAGGGGGCCCAGCAAUGGGCAACCGGCGAACGGGUGCGUAACACGUGAGCAACCUACCGAAAUGUGGGGGAUAGCCGGCCUAACGGCCGAGUAAUACCGCAUACGCUCUCGAUGAGGCAUUUCAUUGAGAGGAAACCUACGGGACAUUUCGAGGGGCUCGCGGCCUAGUCAGCUAGUUGGCGAGGUACGGCUCACCAAGGCAACGACGGGUANCUGGUCUGGAGAGGAUGGCCAGGCCACA
rnacentral:rRNA from 1 species